AGGUGCUGCAUGGCUGUCGUCAGCUCGUGUCGUGAGAUGUUGGGUUAAGUCCCGUAACGAGCGCAACCCUUGUCCUUAUUUGCCAGCAACUCGGUUGGGCACUCUAGGGAGACUGCCGGUGACAAGCCGGAGGAAGGUGGGGACGACGUCAAGUCAUCAUGGCCCUUACGGCCAGGGCUACACACGUGCUACAAUGGGGCGUACAAAGGGCUGCAAGCCUGCGAAGGUUAGCUAAUCCUCAAAACGUCUCGUAGUCCGGAUCGCAGUCUGCAACUCGACUGCGUGAAGUCGGAAUCGCUAGUAAUCGUAGAUCAGCAUGCUACGGUGAAUACGUUCCCGGGCCUUGUACACACCGCCCGUCACACCAUGGGAGUGGGUUGCAAAAGAAGUGGGUAGUCUAACUUCGGAGGACGCUCACCACUUUGUGAUUCAUGACUGGGGUGAAGUCGUAACAAGGUAGCCGUAGGGGAACCUGCGGCUGGAUCACCUCCUUA
rnacentral:rRNA from 1 species